rnacentral:rRNA from 1 species
GACAGAGGGUGCAAACGUUGUUCGGAAUUACUGGGCGUAAAGCGCGUGUAGGCGGCCCUGCAAGUCUGAUGUGGAAUCCCACGGCUCAACCGUGGAAGUGCAUUCGAAACUGCAGGGCUAGAGUCCUGGAGAGGAAGGUGGAAUGCUUGGUGUAGAGGUGAAAUUCGUAGAUAUCAAGCGGAACACCGGUGGCGAAGGCGGUUCUCUGGGCCUGUACUGACGCUGAGGAGCGAAAGCGUGGGGAGCGAACAGG